rnacentral:rRNA from 1 species
UCAAGCGAACAAGGGCGCAGGGCGAAUGCCUUGGCACUGGGAGCCGAUGAAAGACGUGAUAAGCUGCGAUAAGCUUCGGGGAGCUGCAAAUAAGCAUUGAUCCGGAGAUUUCUGAAUGAGGAAACUCACCUGGGUUCAUACUCAGGUACGUUAUACUGAACUUCAAAAUAGGUGUAUCGAGGGAACCGCCUGAACUGAAACAUCUAAGUAGGGCGAGGAAGAGACAUCAAACGAGAUUCCGUAAGUAGUGGCGAGCGAACGCGGAAGAGGGCAAACCGAGAGUAGAAAUACUUUCGGGGUACGGAGCGCAUUUAGGACUUAAGUUGUUAACCGAACGGCAUGGGAAGGCCGGUCAGAGAGUGUGAGAACCACGUAGGUGAAAACGGAGAGAGCUGCGCAGGAUCCAGAGUACGGCCAGACACGUGAAACCUGGUCGGAAUACGGGGGGACCACCCUCCAACCCUAAAUACUACCCAGUGACCGAUAGCGUAUAGUACUGUGAAGGAAAGGUGAAAAGCACCCCGGGAGGGGAGUGAAAAAGAACCUGAAACCCUGUGCCUACAAGCACCUAGAGCGCGUCAAAGCGUGAUAGGGUACUUUUUGUAGAACGGUCCGGCGAGCGAUUGUAUGCAGCAAGGUUAAGGACUUAAGGUCUGGAGCCGAAGCGAAAGCGAGUUUGAAAAGGGCGUUAAGUUGCAUAUAAUGGGCCCGAAACCGGGUGACCUACCCAUGGUCAGGUUGAAGUGGAAGUAAAAUUCCAUGGAGGACCGAACCGACCUCCGUUGAAAAGGCGGCGGAUGAACUGUGGGUAGCGGAGAAAUUCCAAUCGAACCCGGAGAUAGCUGGUUCUCCCCGAAAUAGUUUUAGGACUAGCCUCAAGUUAGAUACCUGGAGGUAAAGCACUGAAUAGCCUAGCGGCCGAGAGGUUAGCGAAGCUUAUCAAACUCAGAAUGCCAGAGUAUUGAUGCUUGGGAGUCAGACAGUGUCAGAUAAAUGUCAUUGUCAAAAGGGAAACAGCCCAGAUCUACAGCUAAGGUCCCAAAGUCAGGUUAAGUGGAAAACGAUGUGAAGAUACGCAGACAACCAGGAUGUUGGCUCAGAAGCAGCCACUCAUUCAAAGAGUGCGUAAUAGCUCACUGGUCGAGCGUCUUUGCGCGGAGAAUUUAACGGGGCUAAACCUGACACCGAAGCUUAGGCAAUACAGCAAUGUAUUGGGUAGGGGAGCGUUGUAUACGCGGUGAAACAGUAGCGCAAGCGGCUGUGGAGUGUAUAGAAGUGAGAAUGCCGGAAUGAGUAGCGCGAAUGCAGUGAGAAUCUGCAUGGCCGAAAGCCUCAGGUUUUUGGAGGAAGGUUCGUCCGCUCCAAGUUAGUCGGGAGCUAAGGUGAGGCCUAACGGCGUAGCCGAUGCACAGACGGUAGAGAUUCCGUCACCACCAAAAGAGUUAAACACAGGGACACAUAUGAAGUCUCGGAGCCGGGUGUUGGUUCCGGUAGCGAUCGAGGGAAAUUAGUACCGAAGUCCGGGAUGGAAGAUGGCGAGAAAAGCUGUGUGUAUUUCUGCGGUGCCCGUACCGCAAACCGACACAGGUAGGUAGGAAGAAGAUUCUAAGGCCAACGGGAGAAGGGUUGUUAAGGAACUCGGCAAAUUGACCCCGUAACUUCGGAAGAAGGGGUGCUCCAGAGAUGGAGCCGCAGAGAAUCGGCCCAAGCAACUGUUUACCAAAAACACAGGUUUGUGCUAAAUCGAAAGAUGACGUAUACGAGCUGACGCCUGCCCGGUGCUGGAAGGUUAAGAGGAGAUGUCAUCGCAAGAGAAGCAUUGAAUUGAAGCCCCAGUAAACGGCGGCCGUAACUAUAACGGUCCUAAGGUAGCGAAAUUCCUUGUCAGGUAAGUUCUGACCCGCAUGAAAGGCGUAAUGAUUUGGGCACUGUCUCAACAGCCCGCCCGGCGAAAUUGUAGUACCGGUGAAGAUGCCGGUUACCCGCGACAAGACGGAAAGACCCCAUGGAGCUUUACUGUAGCCUAAUAUUGGGUUUCGAUGUUGCAUGCACAGGAUAGAUGGGACACUGGGAAGCAGGUGCUUUGGCGCUUGUGGAGUGGCCGUUGGGAUACCAUCCUUGCGAUAUUGGAAUUCUAACCUGCGCCUUUGAAUCAAGGCGGGGGACAUUGUUAGGUGGGACCUCGAGGGGGGG